GACGAACGCUGGCGGCGUGCCUAAUACAUGCAAGUCGAACGCAGUUGCAAACGGGUGAGUAACGCGUAGGUAACUGCCUCAUAGCGGGGGAUAACUAUUGGAAACGAUAGCUAAUACCCCAUACUGUGAGAUGGACCUGCGUUGUAGUAGUUCGGUGGUGGGGUAAAGGCUCACAAAGGCGACGAUACAUAGCCGACAUGCGAGGGUGAGUGGCCACACUGGGACUGAGGCCCGGCCCAGGCUCCCACGGGAAGCAGCAGUAGGGAAACUUCGGCAAUGGACGGAAAGCUGAACGAGCAACGCCGCGUGAGUUAAGAAGGUUUUCGGAGUUUAAAGCUCUGUUGUUAGAGAAGCGGUAACUAACCAGAAAGCGACGGCUAACUACGUGCCAGCAGCCGCGGUAAUUC
rnacentral:rRNA from 1 species